ACGCAAUUCCCAUUAUAUGCUCUUUUGGAUCAUUUUCCUUUCACGUGUUGAAUGAUGGUACCCAGUCCUUAAUCUGGCUGGUCCGCUGUAAUCGAACCUUUUCUACUUUGAUUGAAGGUUCCCCCAAACACACGCGACGCGACAGUCGCGACGCGAUUCUAUCGCUUGGCGACAGCGAUUCUGUCGCCGUUGGUAUGGAAGCGUAAAUAGAACAUUGCCUGCAGCGACCCAGCGAUAGAAUCGCGGCGACUACUUGUCGCCGUCGCGGCGAUGAAAUCGCUUAGGUCUGGGGGAGCCUUGAUUCUCCUGGUUAUGAGUACCUGAGUUUGACAAUCGACGUCCAGAAUCCAGCUUCUGAUCAGGUGAGUGCCGAAGGAGUGUUGUAAGGGUCUCUGACAGUGCAACUAGUAAUAAGCGACCCCGUGCUCGGCAGUAUUUCCCAAACGAAUUUUCCCAUUGAGCAGCCAGGGGCUUACAAGUUACGUUUUCAAAGUUGAUAGAAAUCAAUUACAUUUAAGAGGUGAAGACGGCGAUAUAGAUCUUAUUGACGCUGAAAGUAAAUGUAAGGCCCUAUUUAUUAGAAAUAUUCUUUAUGAUAGUUCCGGAGACAAUUAAAAUGAAGAGUAUUUACUGCGGUCAGAGUGUUUGACUAAGGUGUCAAGAAAUGCUGAAGAAUGGGUGUCAGAAGCUAAAGUUUUAAAGGAAAACUUUGCUUUGAAAUCGGUUAGGCUAUUGUACUGGUACUUUGUUAAAAAAAACACCAUUCCCAAAGCAGAAAUGAACUACCCUCUGGUUCCAUGAUCUCGUUCCCAACAAAGAAAAAAUAUUAAGCUACGGCAGUGGUCCCCAGCAUGCGUAUUAUCUAGGGCCACAUAGCAAUUUUGAACUGUUAAGGUGAAGCGUUGUGACACUCAAAUUGCUAUGUGUUUGUAUCAUAAAAAUCAUCAACCAUGGAUUUGUAGUGGUGGAAACUUCCAAUACCAAUUCAGUAAGCAUACACGUGGGAUUCAUUUUUUGUUAACAUCCGACAACAGUAAACAUUGCACGCAUUCGGAAGAAUUCAGCCCAACUUAGAAACAGUAUCAAUCAAUACAGUCUAAGUAUGGGAUUAACUGAUGGAAUUUGCCAGAAAAGCAUCAGUUUUUCUUUGGUUUAGGUAAAUAUUUAUGAAUGUGUUUUCACGAUGCUGGCUGUUUACACGCUUACAUUGGUUUACCUAUUUAUGGGUACUAUAUUUACUCAUAUAUGGGUAAAUGCGAUUAUGCCAAUAUUAUUAGUAAAAUUUACCCAAAAAAUCAGUAAAAUUUACUGAUGUUUUGAAGAAAUCGAUUCUACCUAUAUUUGAGUAAUCGCAGUCACCCAUAUUUGGGUGAAAAAAUGAAAAUAAAUAAAUAAACAAAACCGAACUGAUGGCCGCCUCGUCAAUGUCGUGGUCGACGCAAGUUUAUAAAUUUUCCUUUUUUUUUCAUUGUUCGAGCAGCCAAAGUCGGUAUCCAUUGAUUUGGGUACCUAGUUCCGAGUGUUCUUCAUAUGAGGAUGGAACCUCGGUCGGAACUGUACGACUAUCUCCAGUUCCGGCCAAAAGCACGAUAUCGACCUCCUUGCAUGCGGCAAAGAACGAAACUAGUUCCCGAACCAUCGGUGGAGAUUUUGUUGUGAGCCCCUGACCCCAAACGGUUUACCUUAUUCUUCAGAAGUGCCAGUGUUUCGGACUGUUUUGCAACAGUUUCAGUUAGCUCUAGUGAUGCAGAGUAAUCGUGAGAAAACGAGAUCGGUACAACAGCCAUACAAUUCGGAGGACAUCCGCUGGAAACAAUGACGACACCCAACACAGAAUUCCCAAGUUACUAGAAAAUCCAUUGGACGCAAAUAGAUUUCUGGACAACUCCAACAGAAAGAACUUGACGAUAUUAUUUACAACAUGCUGUCUCGUCUUGUCUUGGUGUUUCCGAUCAUCAUUUUGGAAGUGCCAUCAUGGUAACGACAACAGAUUCUGUUAAUUCGAGAAGUAAAGGGAUGCGGUGCUGUGCUACUAUCCUAUGAUGCUGCUGACAAAACAUCCGAAAAGAUUGGAUUGAUCACCAGUUGACAUGCCGUCAAACUCCAGACCAGCAUUGUGCUUCUGUUGUCUGUGGUUCCGGUGCUCCUUUUGUUCCAUACUAGACGCUGCCGCUGAGGGAUGUUCGUGUAUAGUGUUAUCUGUUCCUGCUGAUGAUUUUACAGUAGCAGCCAAGCAUCCGGCAACAUGAAGAUUUAAAAAAUUAAAUCAUACUAUAUAAUGAAAAAUUUAGAACACGAAUUCAAAUAAAAUAGAUAUUUAACUUUAUAUUUAUUUAUAUAACCAAUCAAA